rnacentral:rRNA from 1 species
AUGAACGCUAGCUACAGGCUUAACACAUGCAAGUCGAGGGGCAGCAUGGUCUUAGCUUGCUAAGGCCGAUGGCGACCGGCGCACGGGUGAGUAACACGUAUCCAACCUGCCGUCUACUCUUGGACAGCCUUCUGAAAGGAAGAUUAAUACAAGAUGGCAUCAUGAGUCCGCAUGUUCACAUGAUUAAAGGUAUUCCGGUAGACGAUGGGGAUGCGUUCCAUUAGAUAGUAGGCGGGGUAACGGCCCACCUAGUCUUCGAUGGAUAGGGGUUCUGAGAGGAAGGUCCCCCACAUUGGAACUGAGACACGGUCCAAACUCCUACGGGAGGCAGCAGUGAGGAAUAUUGGUCAAUGGGCGAGAGCCUGAACCAGCCAAGUAGCGUGAAGGAUGACUGCCCUAUGGGUUGUAAACUUCUUUUAUAAAGGAAUAAAGUCGGGUAUGGAUACCCGUUUGCAUGUACUUUAUGAAUAAGGAUCGGCUAACUCCGUGCCAGCAGCCGCGGUAAUACGGAGGAUCCGAGCGUUAUCCGGAUUUAUUGGGUUUAAAGGGAGCGUAGAUGGAUGUUUAAGUCAGUUGUGAAAGUUUGCGGCUCAACCGUAAAAUUGCAGUUGAUACUGGAUAUCUUGAGUGCAGUUGAGGCAGGCGGAAUUCGUGGUGUAGCGGUGAAAUGCUUAGAUAUCACGAAGAACUCCGAUUGCGAAGGCAGCCUGCUAAGCUGCAACUGACAUUGAGGCUCGAAAGUGUGGGUAUCAAACAGGAUUAGAUACCCUGGUAGUCCACACGGUAAACGAUGAAUACUCGCUGUUUGCGAUAUACUGCAAGCGGCCAAGCGAAAGCGUUAAGUAUUCCACCUGGGGAGUACGCCGGCAACGGUGAAACUCAAAGGAAUUGACGGGGGCCCGCACAAGCGGAGGAACAUGUGGUUUAAUUCGAUGAUACGCGAGGAACCUUACCCGGGCUUAAAUUGCAGAUGAAUUACGGUGAAAGCCGUAAGCCGCAAGGCAUCUGUGAAGGUGCUGCAUGGUUGUCGUCAGCUCGUGCCGUGAGGUGUCGGCUUAAGUGCCAUAACGAGCGCAACCCUUGUUGUCAGUUACUAACGGGUUUCGCUGAGGACUCUGACAAGACUGCCAUCGUAAGAUGUGAGGAAGGUGGGGAUGACGUCAAAUCAGCACGGCCCUUACGUCCGGGGCUACACACGUGUUACAAUGGGGGGUACAGAGGGCCGCUACCACGCGAGUGGAUGCCAAUCCCAAAAACCUCUCUCAGUUCGGACUGGAGUCUGCAACCCGACUCCACGAAGCUGGAUUCGCUAGUAAUCGCGCAUCAGCCACGGCGCGGUGAAUACGUUCCCGGGCCUUGUACACACCGCCCGUCAAGCCAUGGGAGCCGGGGGUACCUGAAGUGCGUAACCGCGAGGAGCGCCCUAGGGUAAAACUGGUGACUGGGGCU